GCAGAUUUUGUUUGUUUCUAUUUAGCAACCCGGGCCCCGGGGUCCCUCCCUAUCCCAACCGUAUCCCGCGGCCACGAUUCCACGAUUGUGACGGAUUGGACGCGUUUAUCAUGACUGUACCGUCCGGCCGUGAUGGUGGAACCGGGCGAAAUGGCGCGAAACUAAUGGAGUCUGGCUGGCACAACACAACAACCACAACAAAACACGAAGAAAUCACUACAGAAUCCGGUUCGAGGAUUGUUGCAACAUGGGCUUAGGAGAGGGUUGGUGGGAGUACAAACGUACGAAAUGGAAUUUAAAAUCUUAAAAGUGGUGACGUGUGCAAGCAAAAGCCGCCAUCGCCACUGUAGGACGGAGUGGAUCGGCGAAGUGUUCGAGGUAGGGUGCAAGAAGCGGCCAGACCUAUGCCGUUGCUUGCGUUCUUAUCGCUUCGCUUCGUUGGAGUAAUGUUCACAAAUCAACCGACCAAUCCACCACCCUAUGCUUCUCACCCCCCGUAUCCAAACGCUAAGAGCGUCAUCAAGAGGCAGCGCAAAGGAGAGACUAAGAAAUCAAGUAGCGAAGACGGCGGCCCUUGCUUCGCCACCUACAAUAUCUCCCUGCCGCAUGAUAUUUCUUUCUGUCCAGAGUAUAGAGAGUGGCAGCGUGUUGGAGAUGAUGCAGAUGAGCUACAGUGUGGGAGAAACGGUUUGCUACUUGAAGCACUUGUCCAGACAGCACAAUUACAAUUUACUAUCAUUAACCUUGACCAUGGCAAUGCUACAGCGCGACACGUGGAGUCGGUUGUGUAAUGCAGCAAUUUAAAUAAAAUUAGCCAAAACAGGUCCAAUGAGCAUUAAAUCACACUUUUAACCUUGUCGAGAAAUAGGCAACCCGUGACGAAAUUAUUUGUCCAUUACACCAGGGAAACGAUUCACUUUCGAAAGCUCGCCCCUAAUGAAAAGGGAACAAGUUGUGAUUAUUUUGGAAGAAAUUUAUUGUUAAAUCAGUUCGAGGUAUUAAGUUGAUGUGAUUGAAGGGAGCAUUGAAAGUGUCGAUUAAAUUUUAUGGCUGCUUCAGGGUCAGAAUUGCGAUAAGAAAGCUGUACCCAUAUGGUGGUCCGAGGAACAGAGGACAUAGCAUUUAAAUAUAACAAACUGAAACAUUUAUAUUCUUUAGAAAAGCAAAAAUCAUAAUUACCAUCGCUACCACACCACCGUUGAGGCAUCGUCUCCGGUCUUAGUUUCCAGACGAGAAGGCUUGCCCAUCUUACUCCACGCUAUCCGCUAUCCGCAAUGCUCACGCUUAUCAGAACCACUAUCCGCCUUAUUUAGAAACUCUACUCCACCCGCGGCCCUUAACAGCAUCACCCAACCCAACCUAAGCGAACGAUCGCGUGCGUGGACGAAUUAGCUCCCUGCACGCUCGGACCCUCGUCCGACAGUUUGCUUCAAUUUACGCCAGCCACAACUACCGAGCACGGCAUCGUCACAAUGUAGCCGCAACGCCGUCACAAACUGUUCCAGAUUAAUUCGGCUCGUUUGGUGACAACGAUUACGUUCGAGGCGACCCCUAGCAUUCGGGACUAUGAUUCGAUUGGAUUCUAGCAUUCUAAGUUAAAUGAAACACUCGCUUCUGUUCUCGCUUGCGUUGCGUCUUAUCUAGGAACUAAUCUUGUGCGUAAUUUGACACGCCAAAGAACACGUGGUGGGGCAACAAAAAACUAACGGUCAUUUCAAAAUUCAAUUACGCUCAUCAUAACACAAAACUCGAUCAGAUGUACCUCGCAAGAGGAAGUGUGCUUUCGAUCAAAUUAUAGGUAAUGCAAACAAGUUGCUGCUC